UUUUAUGUUCCAAUACUUCCUAAUAUAUAUGUCAUUUUAUUUUGUAGUUUAUAAUGAAAUUAUGUAUAUUUUAAGUAUAAACAGACACUUAUUUACACGAAAUAUAAUAAAUUUACUUAAAUCCGCCUAGUCCACCUAAGUGCUAGACCCCAGCUUGCCGCCCGACUAGCGCCUAGUGUCUUUUAGAGCUGGUUAGAGUGGAGAAUCACCCUUCAGGCUCAGAUUAAUCAUAGUCUUUGGUUAUCAUGUAUCUUUUACAUAACAACCACUACUCCAACAAACAUAAUAACUAUCUUAUGACACUUUUAUAAUUUUUAUUUUAUGCUUUAUGCAUGACACUUGUAUUAUUCUACGUCAUAACAUGAAUAAAAGUAUAAGAGAAGACGAUACAUGAGACGGCUGAAAAUAUAAUUGAAGGAAACUAAAGCCUUGAUCAUAUGACAACUAUAUAUUUGUUGAUUGAUGGACUAAAACCUUCGACGUAUAUACGUACGUAGAAAUAGUUUACUUUGUCCUUUCGUUUAAUUUGUAUGAUUCCGACUCGUCAACUACUAUGGAAUGUGAAAAAUGUUAAAUAAAGGGUAAAUAGCCAAAAUAGUCUCUGAGAUUUGCAUAACUCAUCACUUUGGUCCCUACCAAUUCAAAUCAAUCAAAGUGGUUCCUGAGAUUGUCGAUCAUCCAUCAUUUUGGUCAUUCCGUUAAAAAUUCCAUUAAGUAUCCCGGAACUCUUGGCCGGAAGUUUGGACAAUUUUCAAAGCUUCAUAAUUCAAUCGUUUCUUAACCAAAUUCGACCCAUAAUAUAUCAAAAUGAAGAUAGGGAAGUGUAGAAUAAGAUUAUACCUAUUUGGAAACCCAAUGGUUGCCGGAUAUGGCUGGAAAUUAGCCUCAAAGUUGACUGGUCAGAGAGAAAACAGGAAAACUCGCCGGAAAUUGGGUAAACUUUAACAUUCAUAACUUCUUCAAUACUGAACAAAAUCAAGUGAUUCAAAAAUGAAAAUCAUACUUCUCGACGAGAUAAAGAGAAUGGUACCUUUUUAGAUGGCUAACUCGCCG
rnacentral:lncRNA from 1 species